rnacentral:rRNA from 1 species
UAGGGAAUCUUCGGCAAUGGGGGCAACCCUGACCGAGCAACGCCGCGUGAGUGAAGAAGGUUUUCGGAUCGUAAAGCUCUGUUGUAAGAGAAGAACGUGUGUGAGAGUGGAAAGUUCAAACAGUGACGGUAACUUACCAGAAAGGGACGGCUAACUACGUGCCAGCAGCCGCGGUAAUACGUAGGUCCCGAGCGUUGUCCGGAUUUAUUGGGCGUAAAGCGAGCGCAGGCGGUUUAAUAUGUCUGAAGUUAAAGGCAGUGGCUUAACCAUUGUUCGCUUUGGAAACUGUUAAACUUAGGUGCAGAAGGGGAGAGUGAAAUUCCAUGUGUGGCGGUGAAUUGCGUAGAGAUAUGAAGGAACACCGGUGGCGAAGGCGGCUCUCUGGUCUGUAACUAACGCUAAGGCUCGAAAGCGUGGGGAGCAAACAG